rnacentral:lncRNA from 1 species
AAGAAUGGUUGAGCCGUUAGAGAAAAUGGACAAGAAGACCUAACUAUAUACAGACAAACAAAACCUGGAGAGAUUUCAUAUAUUUUUUGUGAAAAUGACGAUGAAAAUGAUGGCCGUCAUGAACGUAGUCAGGUCGUAAGAAGAGCGUGGUGAGGACGGCAAGGGCGUGCUAGAAUCGUACUAUGGUCGUGAACAGCGUGGUAUAGUCGUAGUGGAAGCGUAGUUUGGUCGCGGUGAGAACGUGAUGGUCGUAUGAGGUCGUGAUAACGUCGCUGUGAGAUCGUAGCGCAGUCUGUCCGAAUAUAAUCACACUUUCGCUACGCUCUCGCUACGAUGUUACAGCGA